rnacentral:rRNA from 1 species
CUACGGGGCGCUGCAGUGGGGAAUAUUGGACAAUGGGGGAAACCCUGAUCCAGCAAUGCCGCGUGUGUGAAGAAGGCCUGCGGGUUGUAAAGCACUUUCGGUUGGGAGGACUGCUUCUAGCACUAAUAUUGUUGGAAGUUGACGUUACCUUCAGAAGAAGCACCGGCUAACUCCGUGCCAGCAGCGGCGGUAAUACGGAGGGUGCAAGCGUUAAUCGGAAUUACUGGGCGUAAAGCGCGCGUAGGCGGCUAGAUCAGUCGGGUGUGAAAGCCCCGGGCUUAACCUGGGAACUGCAUCCGAUACUGGCUAGCUUGAGUACAGGAGGGGAGAGUGGAAUUCCACGUGUAGCGGUGAAAUGCGUAGAUAUGUGGAGGAACACCAAUGGCGAAGGCAGCUCUCUGGCCUGAUACUGACGCUGAGGUGCGAAAGCGUGGGGAGCAAACAGGAUUAGAUACCCCUGUAGUC